rnacentral:rRNA from 1 species
CUGAGUACGGCGGAACACGUGAAAUUCCGUCGGAAUCCGGGAGGACCAUCUCCCAAGGCUAAAUACUCCCUAGUGACCGAUAGUGAACCAGUACCGUGAGGGAAAGGUGAAAAGCACCCCGGAAGGGGAGUGAAACAGUUCCUGAAACCGUGUGCCUACAAGUAGUUAGAGCCCGUUAAUGGGUGAUAGCGUGCCUUUUGUAGAAUGAACCGGCGAGUUACGAUUUGUUGCAAGGUUAAGCGGAAAAAGCGGAGCCGUAGCGAAAGCGAGUCUGAAUAGGGCGCAUAAGUAACAGGUCGUAGACCCGAAACCAGGUGAUCUACCCAUGUCCAGGAUGAAGGUAAGGUAAUACUUACUGGAGGUCCGAACCCACGCACGUUGAAAAGUGCGGGGAUGAGGUGUGGGUAGCGGAGAAAUUCCAAUCGAACUUGGAGAUAGCUGGUUCUCUCCGAAAUAGCUUUAGGGCUAGCCUCGAGGUAAAGAGUCAUGGAGGUAGAGCACUGUUUGGACUAGGGGCCCUUCUCGGGUUACCGAAUUCAGAUAAACUCCGAAUGCCAUGUACUUAUACUCGGGAGUCAGACUGCGAGUGAUAAGAUCCGUAGUCGAAAGGGAAACAGCCCAGACCACCAGUUAAGGUCCCCAAAUAUAUGUUAAGUGGAAAAGGAUGUGGGGUUGCUUAGACAACCAGGAUGUUGGCUUAGAAGCAGCCACCAUUGAAAGAGUGCGUAAUAGCUCACUGGUCGAGUGACCCCGCGCCGAAAAUGUACCGGGGCUAAACAUAUUACCGAAACUGUGGAUGAACCUCUUUAGAGGUUCGUGGUAGGAGAGCGUUCUAAGGGCGGUGAAGUCAGACCGGAAGGACUGGUGGAGCGCUUAGAAGUGAGAAUGCCGGUAUGAGUAGCGAAAGAAGGGUGAGAAUCCCUUCCACCGAAUAUCUAAGGUUUCCUGAGGAAGGCUCGUCCGCUCAGGGUUAGUCGGGACCUAAGCCGAGGCCGAUAGGCGUAAGCGAUGGACAACAGGUAGAGAUUCCUGUACCAGUGCUAAUUGUUUAACCGAUGGGGUGACACAGAAGGAUAGGGAAUCGCACGAAUGGAAAUGUGCGUCCAAGCAGUGAGUGUGAGAAGUAGGCAAAUCCGCUUCUCGCGAAGCAUGAGCUGUGAUGGGGAAGGAAAUUAAGUACGGAAGUUCCUGAUUUCACGCUGUCAAGAAAAGCCUCUAGGAAGAGUAGUACUGCCCGUACCGCAAACCGACACAGGUAGAUGAGGAGAGAAUCCUAAGGUGAGCGAGAGAACUCUCGUUAAGGAACUCGGCAAAAUGACCCCGUAACUUCGGGAGAAGGGGUGCUCUAUUAGGGUGCAAGCCCGAGAGAGCCGCAGUGAAUAGGCCCAGGCGACUGUUUAGCAAAAACACAGGUCUCUGCAAAACCGUAAGGUGACGUAUAGGGGCUGACGCCUGCCCGGUGCUGGAAGGUUAAGAGGAGUGCUUAGCUUCGGCGAAGGUACGAAUUGAAGCCCCAGUAAACGGCGGCCGUAACUAUAACGGUCCUAAGGUAGCGAAAUUCCUUGUCGGGUAAGUUCCGACCCGCACGAAAGGCGCAACGAUCUGGGCACUGUCUCAACGAGAGACUCGGUGAAAUUAUAGUACCUGUGAAGAUGCAGGUUACCCGCGACAGGACGGAAAGACCCCGUGGAGCUUUACUGCAACCUGAUAUGGAAUGUUUGUACCGCUUGUACAGGAUAGGUAGGAGCCGAAGAGACGUGUGCGCUAGCAUACGAGGAGGCAAUGGUGGGAUACUACCCUGGCUGUAUGACCAUUCUAACCCGCCACGCUUAGCGCGUGGGGAGACAGUGUCAGGUGGGCAGUUUGACUGGGGCGGUCGCCUCCUAAAGAGUAACGGAGGCGCCCAAAGGUUCCCUCAGAAUGGAUGGAAAUCAUUCGCAGAGUGUAAAGGCACAAGGGAGCUUGACUGCGAGACUGACAAGUCGAGCAGGGACGAAAGUCGGGCUUAGUGAUCCGGUGGUUCCGCAUGGAAGGGCCAUCGCUCAACGGAUAAAAGCUACCCCGGGGAUAACAGGCUUAUCUCCCCCAAGAGUCCACAUCGACGGGGAGGUUUGGCACCUCGAUGUCGGCUCGUCGCAUCCUGGGGCUGUAGUCGGUCCCAAGGGUUGGGCUGUUCGCCCAUUAAAGCGGCACGCGAGCUGGGUUCAGAACGUCGUGAGACAGUUCGGUCCCUAUCCGUCGCGGGCGCAGGAAAUUUGAGAGGAGCUGUCCUUAGUACGAGAGGACCGGGAUGGACACACCGCUGGUGUACCAGUUGUUCCGCCAGGAGCAUCGCUGGGUAGCUAUGUGUGGCAGGGAUAAACGCUGAAAGCAUCUAAGCGUGAAGCCCCCCUCAAGAUGAGAUUUCCCAUUUCUUCGGAAAGUAAGAUCCCUGAAAGAUGAUCAGGUAGAUAGGUUUGGAGUGGAAGUGUAGCGAUACAUGGAGCGGACAAAUACUAAUCGAUCGAGGACUUAACCAAAA